UACGGAGGGUGCGAGCGUUGUCCGGAAUCACUGGGCGUAAAGGGCGCGUAGGCGGCGCGGGGAGUCAACGGUGAAAGCUCGGCGCUCAACGCCGAGUCGGCCGUCGAUACUCCCGUGCUCGAGCACUGUAGAGGCAGGUGGAAUUCCGGGUGUAGCGGUGGAAUGCGUAGAGAUCCGGAAGAACACCGGUGGCGAAGGCGGCUCUCUGGGACGGUACUGACGCUGAGACGCGAAAGCGUGGGGAGCGAACAGG
rnacentral:rRNA from 1 species